UACGUAGGGGGCAAGCGUUGUCCGGAUUUAUUGGGCGUAAAGAGCGUGUAGGCGGCCAUGCAGGUCCGUUGUGAAAACUGGAGGCUCAACCUCCAGACGUCGACGGAAACCGCGUGGCUAGAGUCCGGAAGAGGAGAGUGGAAUUCCUGGUGUAGCGGUGAAAUGCGCAGAUAUCAGGAAGAACACCGAUGGCGAAGGCAGCUCUCUGGGACGGUACUGACGCUGAGACGCGAAAGCGUGGGGAGCGAACAGG
rnacentral:rRNA from 1 species